AAAACACAUACGGCUGCUCCCAUGGCCCUGCGAGACUCGCCUCGCCUCAUCGCCUGCUCCCCUGCGCGGUUGCUCCCUUGCUCGCCCUCAGCCUCACGCCGAUAGUGGACAGCCGACUGACAUCUCCACUGCUCAGCUGCUCCUAACCACCCACAAGCCACAAGCGGCCGAACCUCACCACCCACAGCCACAAGCGACUGAAAUCAGCCCCUGCUCGGCUGCUCCCCACCACUCACAAACGGCCCAAAUCAACUUGCUCCCCACCUCUCACAAAUGGACGAAUGAGCCAACUGGCAAGCCCACGCCAAUUACUUUCUAGCGAAUCAAUAUUCAUAUUUUUAGUGAAUUAAUAUGUAAAAGCAUAAAUUUAGUGAAAAAUCGUGCCUGGACCUUUACGAAU
rnacentral:lncRNA from 1 species